rnacentral:tRNA from 2 species
GCGGGCGUAGCUCAGUUGGUAGAGCAUCAGCUUCCCAAGCUGAGGGUCGCCGGUUCGAGUCCGGUCGCCCGCU